AGGGGUCUGCGGAGGGGCGAGUUUCUCCGCCCCUCGGGGAGGUUCUGGGCUCGAAGCAGGCUUGGUUGCCAGGCGGGUGUAUGGGGUCCUGGGCUGGCGCUUUGCUUUUAGGGACGAACACUCAGCUUUUCCCGGGUGGGGAGAGAUGGAGAAAGAAAGAUGUUCAGCCGUUGGAGCCGGAAUGACUUUGGGCACCUGCAAGCUCUUCUUCCCAGUUCCAAUGCAUUUUAGCUUGUGCGGAAUGGAUGGAAAACUAAAUCAUUCAGAUAAUUCAAUCCAACCACUUUCAAGCCGAAUUUGAUUAAAAAAAUCGAAUGUCAACCUUAAUGUCCAAGUCACUGGGAGAGUGUGGGGUUUGGGACAGGAAGCAGGAAGAAACUGUGCUCUUGAAGUAUUCCAAAGACUGCUUUAAAUAUCUUUGCGCUUUGGUAGACACUAAGUGGGCUUCAUCUGACAGUGGCAAGGAGGAUUCAGUGGCCCUUCUUCCCUUUAAUCCCUACUCCUCUUCUAGCCACAGACCCCAUUGAUGCCGGCAGAGUUACAACACCAGGUGUUGCCCAGGGUUGGUGUGCUGAAGACCCCCCCCAAUGCAGUUACAGUUGGUAAGAGGCAGCCCUGCACAGAGAGGAUGGGGACAACCCAAGAUGGACCUUUGCUGUAAAUGCAGUGUGCCUCAUGUCCAGAGGUUUAAACCCUCCUGACUCUUCUAGAGAGGAGACAAGAGAACUCAGGGUUCCCAGUUGGUGCGUGUUGGCUGCUCUAUCCACUGACCACAUUCUGAUCCUGACUAUCACUAAACCAAGUCUGUUUUUGAAGAUGGGCACAGCUGUAGAUGCAGGACUGAUGCCAUCUGGUGCAGUUCCACAGAAAAAGAGAUAAAAUUUACCCAGAGUGUGCCAUGCACUGGCUUUUCUGGGAAUGACAAGGUGCCAGGAUUUGUUUUUGGUUCAUUUGCCGGGGUGGAAACUUGAAACGAGGUUCCAAGAUGGUUGCUGCAGCUCCCCCAAGAAAAUGAAGGAAGGUGAAAGGGAAAACAGGGCACACCAUUUUGAUUCUGCUUCCUUUUAAAGAGCUUUCUCAGAUGCCCAGCAACUUAAACUUACAUCUCAUUGGCCAGACUGUGUCAUAUCUCUGAGGCUGCAUGAGAAAUGUAGUUUUUGUAGCUGGACGGAUGACUGCCUUCAACCAAAAAGUCUGAGGAAAUCUAAGGAAAAAAGAUGAUGGUGGAUCUUUGGGGAACAAACUAGUAGUCCAUGCCCUGGUUACAAAAUGCAGUUGUCAAGGAGCAUAAUGACUGAAACAGAUCAAAACUGUAACUUCUUCACAACUAACAGUACUCCAAGCAACAGUGCUCUGCCCAGAGAGUGAGCAGAGUGAAGACAUCCUGGGUUUUUCUCUUGAAACACCUGCCAGAACUGGCUUUUGUGGUCAGCAGAUAUGCCUGCCCUACAUCAGGAUUUUCUAGAGGAGGACCUAGGAACCUGUACACUUCCUCUGAGGACAUAAUCUAUGGAAGUUUGGAACGGGAUGAAGAAGGCUCUACCUUGCCGCUCUCCCAUCUGGUUCAUGUAUCUCUAAUUUUCCUUACAGAUUUUUGGUGGAGUCUAGUUUGUGUUUGAUCCCGAGAAAAGGAUCAUGCCUUUCAUACAUAGGAAAAGGUAAUCUAUGUAAAGAAAGGCUACUUUACUCCUUUCUGUGAUUCCACCACUCAUCUAGGAAUAUCCUGGGAGAAGACUUGCUUCUCAAAGCUGCUUCCAUAAUCAGCCUACAUCCUGCCUAAGCAAAGGAAGAAGAAACACUUCCCACAUCCAGGGCUGUCCAAAAGAACUUUCUGUGAUGACAAAAAUGUUCUAUAUUUGCACUGUCCAAUAUGAUAGCCACUAGCCAC